rnacentral:lncRNA from 1 species
AACGAUCAGCGUCAUCGUCUAUUUCUGCUUCUUCGUCAUGGGGUUUGGGCCUAUCCCAAAUAUUCUCUGCGCGGAGAUUUUCCCCACCUCCGUCCGUGGCAUCUGCAUAGCCAUCUGCGCGCUAACCUUCUGGAUCGGCGACAUCAUCGUGACCUACACUCUCCCCGUGAUGCUCAACGCCAUCGGUCUCGCUGGAGUCUUCGGAAUAUAUGCUGUCGUUUGCAUACUGGCCUUUGUAUUCGUCUACAUGAAGGUCCCUGAGACAAAGGGCAUGCCCCUGGAGGUCAUCACCGAGUUCUUCUCUGUCGGGGCAAAGCAGGGCAAGGAAGCCACGGACUAGUUGCUCUGAUCUGGUGAUCCGCGUCGCUGGUGGUAAUUUUGUGGUGUCAUAACUACUACUACACUGGUUAACCUGCGAUGCUUUGGUGAAGAAACUUCAAAGAGAGCAGAUACGGAAGACUUUACAUCGUGAGGCUGAAUCGUGUCGUCGUAGGCCAGCUUUUGGAAGUAGGAUAUGUACUUAGAUCAUCUGUUCUUUUCGCUUUGGAACUUUCUAUUUGUGUUAUUCAGAAUUUCUUGCCCAUGUAACUAGUGCUGUUAUCACAAUUUAUGUCGUUUAUGUUUUUGUCUUGCUCGGUCGAUUCAGUUUAUCCUCUUUGUUGCCACUAGUUCUCAGUUGCCAGUCACUUCAGCAGUUUAGUUGUGCUAUUAGUACUAUUUUUGAGGAUAAGUAGUGUUUCUGGGUGUAUGGGAAAUAUGCACACAACCAUUUUAUGUUACUCCUUGGUUUCAUAAUGUAGUGGAUAUAGAUUUUUGUAGAAGUCAAACCUUAUAAACUUUGGCUAAGUUU